CCUCACCCAUCCUUCUUCUCUCCAGGACAGAUCUCUGACAGACCCUCCCUCUCAGUGCAGCCGGGCCCCACAGUGACCUCAGGAGAGAAGGUGACCCUGCUGUGUCAGUCAUGGGGCCCGAUGUUCACUUUCCUUCUGACCAAGGAGGGGGCAGCCCAUCCCCCGUUGCAUCUAAGAUCCACUUACAGAGCUCAUAAGUACCAGGCUGAAUUCCCCAUGAGUCCUGUGACCUCAGCCCACGCGGGGACCUACAGGUGCUACGGCUCACGCAGCUCCAACCCCUACCUGCUGUCUCACCCCAGUGAGCCCCUGGAGCUUGUGGUCUCAGGAGCAACUGAGACCCUCAAUCCAGCACAAAAGAAGUCAGAUUCCAAGACUGGACCCUCCAGGGGCCCCAGCCCCCCACCCAUAGGCUCUUUCUCCGUACCUGAUGGUAUAUGUGUCUCCCGUAUAUGUGUCUCCCUCACGAUCUGCACCAGCAGCUCCAUGGUCCUCGUCCUGCAUAGAUACAAGCAGAGAGUCCAACAUGUUCACAGCCGCAACCUCUCCCGCAGAACAUCUCAUGAAACCACAACCACACACACCAUCCUCAUCCUGGCACCAUGGUCUCAUCCAUCUGCACAGCUGCAGCCAGUGGGAGGAGACGCCGUGAGCCCUGCCCUCAUGGCUCUGCUCUGCCUCGGGUUAGAAAGCCAAGAGGGGCAGCUGCAGGUACAUGUAAUCAUAUCCAUCAGUGCUGGGGUCUGAGAUUCGUGAGACGAAGCCACAAUAUUGUGAGAAAGCAAAGAUGUGUAAAAACCCCGCUGUUUAGAAUCUCCUCUCUCUCACACAUCACACGAAGCGUUUCAGAUUUUCUACUAAAAACCAUGCAGCUUUACAAGACUCCCAGGCCCCUACCCUAUCCUGCGGGAUGAGUGAUGAAAUGUGUACAUUUAGUCUAAUUUAAAAAAUUAUUCAACUACUUUAAUUAUUCUUAAGUGAAGUAUUUGAUUCAUGUAUAUUUCUUUUGUUUGUUUGUUUGUUUUUGUUUUUGAGAUGGAGUCUUGCUCUGUCGCCCAGCCUGGAGUGCAGUGGCGUGAUCUCGGCUCACUGCAAGCUCCGCCUCCUGGGUUCACGCCAUUCUCCUGCCUCAGCCUCCCGAGUAGCUGGGACUACAGGCACCCACCACCAUGCCCGGCUAAUUUUUUUGUAUUUUUAGUAGAGAUGGGGUUUCACUGUGUUAGCCAGGAUGGUCUCGAUCUCCUGACCUCGUGAUCCACCCACCUAGGCCUCCCAAAGUGCUGGGAUUACAGGCGUGAGCCACCGUGCCCAGCCUGAUUCAUUUAUAUUUCUAAGUAAGAUAUACACAUGAGAAAGCUUUUAGUUUGAGUAUAUUCAUUUAAUUUCAUUUUAGCUUGCUAUAACAUUUUUCCCUUUCAAUUAUCUUUCAACUGAUCUCCCCAAAUUUACUGAUAAAGUUUAUAUUAACUAUAAGAAAAUUGAAAUUUUAUUUUUUAUUUCUAAACCGCAUAUCAAUUUUUGUCACUUCAAGUAUUAAUAUGCAUGUAACUGCAUCUUAAAUAAAUAUCUAAAGUUUUACAUA
rnacentral:sRNA from 1 species